rnacentral:rRNA from 1 species
GACGAACGCUGGCGGCGUGCUUAACACAUGCAAGUCGAACGGAAAGGCCCUGCUUUUGUGGGGUGCUCGAGUGGCGAACGGGUGAGUAACACGUGAGUAACCUGCCCUUGACUUUGGGAUAACUUCAGGAAACUGGGGCUAAUACCGGAUAGGAGCUCCUGCUGCAUGGUGGGGGUUGGAAAGUUUCGGCGGUUGGGGAUGGACUCGCGGCUUAUCAGCUUGUUGGUGGGGUAGUGGCUUACCAAGGCUUUGACGGGUAGCCGGCCUGAGAGGGUGACCGGCCACAUUGGGACUGAGAUACGGCCCAGACUCAUACGGGAGGCAGCAGUGGGGAAUAUUGCACAAUGGGCGGAAGCCUGAUGCAGCAACGCCGCGUGCGGGAUGACGGCCUUCGGGUUGUAAACCGCUUUCGCCUGUGACGAAGCGUGAGGGACGGUAAUGGGUAAAGAAGCACCGGCUAACUACGU